rnacentral:tRNA from 1 species
GGGCCAGUGUGCAUAGUGGCGAUUGCAGGAGUCUGUAAAACUCUGACAUUUGAAACAUCGUUGGUUCGACUCCAACCUGGCCCA